UUCAUUGCCACUGGAGCUCAGAUGAGUUCCCCCCAUGGAGCAAUUCGCAGUGCUGGUCCCUCCAGCUCGCAGCUUGCUGCCGCUUCUCCCCGCCAGCUUUUGCAGAGCGCUUGGCGUGGUGCCCGGCAGCCUUUCACUGCUGCCUUUUCAUUCGCCUUAAUUCACUGCCUUUCCUUGCAAGGAACAGAGGGAGAGCUUGUUCCAGCAGACGGGCCCCAUCCGCUCCUCCCGUCCGAGGGCUGGGAAGAAGGGAUGGAGGCGAAGGGAACUCUCCCACCCCUCCGGGGCCCCGCGGGCGCGCUGCUUCCCAGAAAAUACGGUAAAAAGCCUUCAGCCUAAAAAUGCUGAAAGUUUUCCUGGACCUGCUGAACACUUUCUUCUCCUGUAAUCUGUCGUGACUGUCAGGAUGCCAGAGACAUGCCAGACCCUGGGCCACAAUAGUGCUACAAACAUGCCCAGAGAGGAAAGCUGGCACAAGAUUUCUCUUUAGCAAGUAAACACAUAGAAGUCAACAACAGAUGGAGCAUCACAUGGAGUUACGCAGCAAAGUUGCCUCCACAAACUACAGAUGAAUUGAAAAAGCCAAAUGGAGCAAAAGGGAGCUGGCAAUGUUGUUCUGCGUCCUCUGUGUGCUGCAUGGCUUCAGCCUGGGUGCAUACUGCUCUGCACUGGACACUAUGCAAGCAUACAAAUAACCACAGUCCCUGUGCCAGCAGAUCCAACAGCUCAGCACAGAUCCAGCCCCAGGGGCUCAUCUUGGGCAGGGAGUGCAACCCUCAAGCUCCAACACCAUCCUGAGCUGACAGCUGCCCUCCUCCCCCCACGCCACCUCCAAGCCGUUCACAGAGCAAUCCUCCAAAUGAUUUUUCUGGAAAACCAAUUAAAGGAGGAGUUACAUCACACAGCAGCCAGCCCAACCGGCGCUGCAUUGUGCUGACGAGCCCUGCCUGUAUUUUGGGCUCUGCACCACAUUGCUUGCAGCUGCUGCUGCUGCUGCUGCCGUGCUGGAAUUUGCAGCUCGCUAUCUAAAUAUACUGCAAGAAAAAAAACUGAUCAAAGCAGCUAAAUAUUAUUGUCUGUGCUCGGAUGGGCGGCGCGGAGACCAGAAAACCCCUGGUUGCUUUGUUUUUUCCCCUGUGCAAAACCACAGACAAACAAAAUCGGAAGGGGGUAGGGUGUGGAACGAAGCAGAAAAGGAGACUUUCAGUGGGUGUGAAGUCAGCACAGCCCAGGGCUUGGAAGUCAGGAAAUUCCAGUCCCUACAGCCUGUAGCAGGGAACAGGGCGUGCUGCCUUAUGGGGGACCCUAUGGGCUUGUGUUCCCCUCUAGGUGAUGCCACAUACUACCUUCAUACCUUUAGGUCAUCAUAAAAUGAUGGGAUCAGAGAAUGGCUCGGGUUGGAAGGGACCUGAGAAAACACUGAGCUCCAACCCCCUGCCGUGGGCUGGUUGCCACCCACCAGGUCUGGCUGCCCAGGGCCCCAUCCAGCCUGGCCUUGAGCACCUCCAGGGAUGGGGCAUCGGCAGUUUCUCCGGGCAACCUAUCAUCACUCAUCAUCACCCAACUGAGGGCUGUGCCCACCCCUCAGUAUCCAGGCCGAGCUUCUUUAGGAAGCUUACAGCUCCCCAGACUGUCCCUCUGUGUAGUUGGCAAGAAAUAAAACAUGACAGGUUGAGCUCAGUCUGUGGCAGGAGCAGGGCUUGGCACCAGGAUGGGGGUGUAGGAGGGUGCCCAUGGACCAGGUUGGCCCCCACCAUCGCUCAGGCAAAAUUCUCAGCCCUCAGUUCCCUCCCAUAAAUCUUCCAGGUGAGCUCGCCAGCACUGCCAUGCAGAACAAGCACUGCUGCAAAUGAGUACUCAUGAAUAAUCACUCUGGCUGCUUACAAAAGCUUCUUAUCCUUUGCAUAAGAGACUCAAAGAAGAGCUGGUAUUAAACCGAGAACUACUGCUUGGUUUGGUCUCCAACCAUGAGAUGCAUGGUGACAUCUCACCCUGGUGACAUGGGGGCAACGGGGGCAAAGGAAGAUGGGGCAGCAGCUCCAGCAUCAGCUCCUGACUACAUGUCCCCAAAUGCAUUCUGACAGUCCAUGGGAUGCCUGGUGAGCUGCCCGAUCUGCCUUAAGUUCUCCAACUGCAAUAUGGGAUUAAGUGCCAUUGGCACAGGUAUUAUGAUUUUACAUCCACUACAAGGUGAUGAGCUUCUCCAAUGAGAAGAAUCUGUGCAUGGCUGAAACUCAAGAAUACAAAUAACUUUCUCAUGAAGAAAACCCUAAAACCGAAUCUCUACUGGUGCAUUUAACAAGGCUGCAAGCAGCUUCUCUUUGCAUGUAUCAAGUUGUGUACAGCAUGCCUACUAUUAAUAUAGAAAUUUCUUAUCCUCUUUUCCUCAUUUCUCCUUUUCACAGACCAGUACAUCCCAACCAGGAAUUAAAGAUACAAAUGCAAAAACCUCCUGGUGUCUUUUAAUUUCCCCCAGCUCUCCAUCCAGCCUUCGAAUUUGGCCUGGGGAAAACCAGCAACAGGUCUGUGAACUGGGAAAAGGAGAAAAUAGGAAAAAGCAAAUGGAGAAAGUGCUUGCGAUGCUGUAGUUGAGCCAGUAGCAAAAUAUUUCCUUUGCUACCUAUUUAUUGGUAUUCUUGUACACCAAGGAAAAGGUUAUAAAAACAGUUGCUGGACCAUGGGAAAAUUUCUUUUUGCUGAGAAUAAGGGAUUUUUGCAGAUCCUCCUCCGGUGGCUUUAUGUACUUCUUCCAUGUUGAGGAAUAUUUUCAUAUUCACAUUUUCAGUGCAGGAUAAUUGCUGCACGGGGCGCACAGUGCAUUUCUGGUCUGUAAAGAGCAUGUUUUCAGUGUCAUCCUCCUUCAUUUCGCCUGCCCCCAGACCCAAACCUCUGCCUUUGGUUUCAGUAAUUCAUGCUCAGUAAGUCACCUUUGGAAAACAGAAGACCCGUCUGGUGUUAGAGAAAGUACUAGCAUGGGUGGCGAAAUGUAAGCUGAGAGAAAGUGGGAGGAAGAAAAAUGUGAAGAGCAAAUAGCUGGAGAACGAUCCAGAAACCUCAAAGCAAUGUGAAUGGCAAGAGAAUGUUAAAAUGUGCAGAUGGUAUGAAAACAAGAUUGAUGCGAUGUCGCAGUGGAUGCAGGCUGGUGGGGCAGGCAGGUGCUGUUGGCCAAAGAGGGAACAUCUGAGGAACUGAAUUCAAUGCAGCCAUGGGAAAAGUCAGAUGCUUUGGAAGAAGGGAUGUGGGUCACACCUAGGAGAUGGGGGCACACGUCCUGGAAAGCAAUGACUCAGAGCAGAUAGAACGCUGCUGGUAAGCAAUCAUUGAUAUGAAGUCCCAGCAGUGCCCUAGCCAAGAAGGUUGGAGUAAUCCUUGGCCACGCUGCCGGCAAAUGUGAGGAGGGAGUGCUGAAGUGAUAGGAUCUCUGUAAACAACAUUAGUGAGACCAUUUCUGAAACGUUAUGCCUUGUUCUGAUGUUCACAUUUCCAAAAAAAGAUCUUAAGAAAACAGGAAAGAUUUGGAGAAGUCUUGCCAGCAUGAUUUCAGGCACUGGAAAACUGCUUUGGAGUAAGAAAGUAUAUCGAAGGAAAGAUGAAGUGACUUUACUCCAGGUUACCAAUGUUUGCCCAGGUAUCAAUGAUGAAUAUUACAUCAAGGAAGGGUGUAAUUGAGAUGCAGCCUGAGAAAUUCAGGUGCUGAGGUGAGGUUUCCCCUCCUCAAGCCCAGAUGACCACUUUACAUCCAUGGCCCAAGUUUAUCAGGGUUUUGGUAUCAAGUACUCGUUAUAGUGGUAAAUAUCACAUCUGAUUGCAUCUGGCUCAGUAGUUUUGCUGACCACAUGUUCAGAGGAGUAAAUGGAACUGGCUUUCGGCACAAGGCUGUGGGAAGACCUGAUAGCAGCCUUUCAGUAUUUAAAGGAGGGGGGCUGUAAGAAAAAAGGAAAUAGGCU